UACGUAGGGUGCAAGCGUUGUCCGGAAUUAUUGGGCGUAAAGAGCUCGUAGGCGGCUUGUCGCGUCGGCUGUGAAAACCUGGGGCUCAACCCCGGGCCUGCAGCCGAUACGGGCAAGCUAGAAUUCGGUAGGGGAGACUGGAAUUCCUGGUGUAGCGGUGAAAUGCGCAGAUACCAGGAGGAACACCGGUGGCGAAGGCGGGUCUCUGGGCCGAUAUUGACGCUGAGGAGCGAAAGCGUGGGGAGCGAACAGG
rnacentral:rRNA from 1 species